CACUUCUAAGGAAGGCAGCAGGCGCGCAAAUUACCCAAUCCUGACUCAGGGAGGUAGUGACAAGAAAUAACAAUAAACCGGCUUAUGCCGGUUUAAUUGGAAUGAGUACAAUUUAAACAUCUUAACGAGGAACAAUUGGAGGGCAAGUCUGGUGCCAGCAGCCGCGGUAAUUCCAGCUCCAAUAGCGUAUACUAAAGUUGUUGCAGUUAAAAAGCUCGUAGUUGGAUUUCUGUGGGGACGGAGCGGCCGGCCGCACAUCGCGGUUCGAGCUAGCGCUUUCCCUACAUCCUGCCGCGAACCGUGCUACCAUUAGUUUGGUGGCGCCGGGGAUCGGCUCGAUUACUUUGAGAAAAAUAGAGUGUUCAAAGCAGGCCACAUGCCUUGAAUAAGUUAGCAUGGAAUAAUAACUAAGGACUUCGGUUCUAUUUUGUUGGUGUUCGGGACUGAAGUAAUGAUUGAUAGGGACAGUUGGGGCGGUCUGUAUUCCAAAGCGAGAGGUGAAAUUCUUAGACCUUCGGAAGACAAACAGCUGCGAAAGCGUUCCGCAAGGAUGUUCCCUUUGAUCAAGAACGAAAGUUGGGGGAUCGAAGACGAUCAGAUACCGUCGUAGUCUCAACUAUAAACUAUACCAGCUAGGGAUCGGCCAACGUUAUUUCAUACCGACUUGGUCGGCACCUUAUGAGAAAUCAAAGCAUCUGGGUUCCGGGGGGAGUAUGGUCGCAAGGCUGAAACUUAAAGGAAUUGACGGAAGGGCACCACCAGCCGUGGAGCCUGUGGCUUAAUUUGACUCAACACGGGAAAACUUACCAGGUCCAGACAUAGUAAGGAUUGACAGAUUGAUAGCUCUUUCUUGAUUCUGUGGGUGGUGGUGCAUGGCCGUUCUUAGUUGGUGGAGUGAUUUGUCUGGUUAAUUCCGUUAACGAACGAGACCCCAGCCUGCUAAAUAGCGCGUGUGAGCUUUGCUCGCAGCGAGCUUCUUAGAGGGACUAUGAUGCGCGAUAGCACAUGGAAGUUUGGGGCAAUAACAGGUCUGUGAUGCCCUUAGAUGUUCUGGGCCGCACACGGGCUACACUGGCGCCUGCAACGAGCAUAUCAGCUGGCCCGAGAGGGUCUUGGCUAAUCUUUUGAACCGGCGCCGUGCUUGGGAUUGACCUUUGCAAUUGUUGGUCAUGCAACGAGGAAUGCCUUGUAAACGCGAGUCAUCAGCUCGCAUUGAAUACGUCCCUGCCCUUUGUACACACCGCCCGUCGCUCCUACCGAUGAAUGUUCCGAUGAAAUUUUCGGAGAGUGCCUGUGAACUUGGCUCUGCCUUGCGAACGGGAAGCUCAAAGUCACUUAAAUCUGAACAUUUC
rnacentral:rRNA from 1 species